rnacentral:rRNA from 1 species
GAUGAACGCUGGCGGCGUGCCUAAUACAUGCAAGUCGAGCGAACAGACGAGGAGCUUGCUCCUCUGACGUUAGCGGCGGACGGGUGAGUAACACGUGGAUAACCUACCUAUAAGACUGGGAUAACUUCGGGAAACCGGAGCUAAUACCGGAUAAUAUAUUGAACCGCAUGGUUCAAUAGUGAAAGACGGUUUUGCUGUCACUUAUAGAUGGAUCCGCGCCGCAUUAGCUAGUUGGUAAGGUAACGGCUUACCAAGGCGACGAUGCGUAGCCGACCUGAGAGGGUGAGCGGCCACACUGGAACUGAGACACGGUCCAGACUCAUACGGGAGGCAGCAGUAGGGGAUCUUCCGAAAUGGGCGAAAGCCUGACGGAGCAACGCCGCGUGAGUGAUGAAGGUCUUCGGAUAGUAAAACUCUGUUAUUAGGGAAGAACAAAUGUGUAAGUAACUAUGCACGUCUUGACGGUACCUAAUCAGAAAGCCACGGCUAACUACGUG